GCAAGUAAACGUGACAAUGGACACUCAAGAACAGAAAAGUCUUGAUCUGAUGCUUUAACAAUAAAUAUUGAUGAUCAGAAUCGGCUGAUCGUAUUGUUAAAAUAUCGGUGACUAGUGUCUGCCUCAGUUUCUUGAUCGGUGCAGCACUAUAAACUGAUCCUGAACUUCAACAUUUAUCCCCUCUAUAUGAACUGGAGGAAAACCAUCAUUUGUUUGUGUUUUUAAUUCCCAGUUUCUCACGAUUCAGACAGACCUGCAGAGAUUCAGUCGAUUGUUUCAAAGAGAGACAUUCAUAGAUGAGAUCAUAAACAGGAAGCUCUUGACAAAUCUGGAGAAGUGGAGCAUGAUGUGCAUCAGACUGACUGAGAGCUGGGACUUUUAUUCUGAAGGGACAUCAACACACACACACACACACACACACAACCAACUGCUGGUCAAAAAUAUGACAUCUUUAGUUUUAUGUUUGUAGUUCUGGUUGUGUUUUAUCUUCUCGUUCAUUGUCUCAAGUUGUUUCUUAGUUUGUCUGUUUAAGGUUGUGACUUUGUUUCAAUGUUUGCUGUGCAUUGAUACAUUAACAUCAUCAUUCAAAGAAAAGACCCCAAAAUAAUUUACAGAUUAAGAGUUACAUAUUCAUUUGUAAAUAUAGUAUAUGCUUUAAUUUGAUCAUUUCUAACUGUAUAUGUUACUGUCUGAU
ensembl:lncRNA